AAGUAUCCGUUAAAGUUAAACGACUUCAGAAAUAACUUUGGUUUUAAUUUUGAAUUUUGGUUUUCAUGAUUUUUUUCACAGCCUUCCUUCACACAUGACCAGGAAGCAGCUUUUUAGAGCUCCUGAAAUGAUGCGGAAAACUGUUGUUGGAGCAUUUGUAAUGGAGGCUGCGGGGUUGUUGGGAGUCCAUGUUGGCAGAAGAGCCCAGAGAAGCCGGUGCGCUGAGAGACGACGGCGGGAAAUGAGAUCAUUAUAGCUGCUCGGCUUUUGGAUAGUUUCACUAGAGGCGGCCAGAUCAGCAUGAAAUGAGCUCAGUUUGAAUCUUUCUGUGGUCCAAUCAGAUGAGCGCAGAUUUCAUCUCUGCUGGCCCGCUUCACCAGAGUCCGACCCCUCGGAUGAAAUGGACUACAUAUUCAUACGAUCCCCCAUGGUUGAUUACAGCAACACAGAUGGAACAAACAUCCUUUCUUCUGUGUUGUCACAGUUUUCUAUCUAAAAAUUAAAAUAGAAUUUAAAAUA